rnacentral:piRNA from 1 species
UGACUUGGCUACAGCUCAUCUUGCUUGC